AGGCGUGCUUAACACAUGCAAGUCGAACGGAAAGGCCCUUUUUUUGUGGGGUGCUCGAGUGGCGAACGGGUGAGUAACACGUGAGUAACCUGCCCUUGACUUUGGGAUAACUUCAGGAAACUGGGGCUAAUACCGGAUAGGAGCUCCUGCUGCAUGGUGGGGGUUGGAAAGUUUCGGCGGUUGGGGAUGGACUCGCGGCUUAUCAGCUUGUUGGUGGGGUAGUGGCUUACCAAGGCUUUGACGGGUAGCCGGCCUGAGAGGGUGACCGGCCACAUUGGGACUGAGAUACGGCCCAGACUCCUACGGGAGGCAGCAGUGGGGAAUAUUGCACAAUGGGCGGAAGCCUGAUGCAGCAACGCCGCGUGCGGGAUGACGGCCUUCGGGUUGUAAACCGCUUUCGCCUGUGACGAAGCGUGAGUGACGGUAAUGGGUAAAGAAGCACCGGCUAACUACGUGCCAGCAGCCGCGGUGAUACGUAGGGUGCGAGCGUUGUCCGGAUUUAUUGGGCGUAAAGGGCUCGUAGGUGGUCGAUCGCGUCGGAAGUGUAAUCUUGGGGCUUAACCCUGAGCGUGCUUUCGAUACGGGUUGACUUGAGGAAGGUAGGGGAGAAUGGAAUUCCUGGUGGAGCGGUGGAAUGCGCAGAUAUCAGGAGGAACACCAGUGGCGAAGGCGGUUCUCUGGGCCUUUCCUGACGCUGAGGAGCGAAAGCGUGGGGAGCGAACAGGCUUAGAUACCCUGGUAGUCCACGCUGUAAACGGUGGGUACUAGGUGUGGGGUCCAUUCCACGGGUUCCGUGCCGUAGCUAACGCUUUAAGUACCCCGCCUGGGGAGUACGGCCGCAAGGCUAAAACUCAGAGGAAUUGACGGGGCCCCGCACAAGCGGCGGAGCAUGCGGAUUAAUUCGAUGCAACGCGUAGAACCUUACCUGGGUUUGACAUGGAUCGGGAGUGCUCAGAGAUGGGUGUGCCUCUUUUGGGGUCGGUUCACAGGUGGUGCAUGGCUGUCGUCAGCUCGUGUCGUGAGAUGUUGGGUUAAGUCCCGCAACGAGCGCAACCCUUGUUCACUGUUGCCAGCACGUUAUGGUGGGGACUCAGUGGAGACCGCCGGGGUCAACUCGGAGGAAGGUGGGGAUGACGUCAAGUCAUCAUGCCCCUUAUGUCCAGGGCUUCACGCAUGCUACAAUGGCUGGUACAGAGAGUGGCGAGCCUGUGAGGGUGAGCGAAUCUCGGAAAGCCGGUCUCAGUUCGGAUUGGGGUCUGCAACUCGACCUCAUGAAGUCGGAGUCGCUAGUAAUCGCAGAUCAGCAACGCUGCGGUGAAUACGUUCCCGGGGCUUGUACACACCGCCCGUCAAGUCAUGGAAGUUGGUAACACCCGAAGCCGGUGGCCUAACCGUUGUAGGGGAGCCGUCGAAGGUGGGACUGGUGAU
rnacentral:rRNA from 1 species